AAAUUUGAUAAUUUUUGUGAGUAUUUUUGCUUUUGUUGAUCAAGUAAGUUUGAUAGUAAAAGUAAGGUAAUUAAUUGUUGCUGAAAUUUGAUCUCAACAAUGGUCUCCUGAAUACUUGAUUCUAGUUUUUUCUAUACAACAAAAACUCUAAUGGGAGAGGAAAUCAAAUCUCCAUGUGCUGCAGUGGAUGAGACAGCUCAGAGGUCUCGGGCUCAAGCCCUGCAUAUGGAAAAGUACGAGUUUGCUGUACCGGACACGGGAUGGAAAAACCAAAAAAAAUAAUCUCGGAUAAUUAAGUUUUAGCUAAUUCUAUGCUUUGGUCGAACUGAUAUUUUGCAUCCAAAUCAAUCAGAAUUAAGUUCACCAAUUUCUUCCUAUUAGUCUCUGCUGUUUCUCUGUCAUCUUGUUUGUUUUGGUUAUGUGAAGCGCCUCCUAUAUGUUAUGUGGUUAUGUGAAGCGCCUCCUAUAUGUUAUGUGGUUUUGUGAAGCGCCUCCUAUAUGUUAUGUAGUUAUGCUCAUCUGGAUACAACUCAGUUGCCAUUCCCUUGUUUGUGGAUAAUACAUUAGAGACAUCAAGCAAUCAUGUAGUGAAAAAUCUAGUUCAUGUUCCUUGAUUGUUCAAUUCUAGGAGGAUGUUUAAACAGUAAGAAAACAGUACUGAUACUAUCUACCGCAAUAUAAGUAUUCAUUGAUAUCUAUAAAAUUCUGUUUUUAGAUGAGUGUUAUCUUGUAAACUGCAACAACAGAGGACAAACAUUGAUGUUUUAAUUAUGAUCAAUUGUCUUAAGACAAAGAAUACACAAGUAUGAUUAAUGUGCAGAAGUGUAAAAUGUUAUGUCACAUUACAAAAAUAACUUACAACUACACUACUACACUCGUACAAUGACAUUUACGGAGUAUAUAGAAUCAGUUAGGAAGUGUGUAUAUAUAUAUAUUCAGAAAGAGUAGUGCUUGAAAUCCUGCACCUACUGCUUCAGUUAUGUAACUCAAUUUAUCUAUUAAUAUAUUUACAGAUUCUUUCUGUCAAAGCACAUAGUUAUCAUCUGGAAAUAAUUGGCGGUGUGGAUGUUGGAUCCUGAAGGGAGAUUACAGUUUCAAAAGCACCCACCAAAGCCUGGACCUUGCUUCUCCUGGUCUCCUCAAGCUUGGUUGCAGUCUCUUCGAUCACAUUGUUGAACAAGAUUGGAGCCUCUUUUUUGUCUCGUCUAGAUUGGUGUCGAAGAUUAACUCUCAUAGUUUCAUCUUUAGCAGCAUUUGACUUUCCAUAAGCAAUAAAUCUCCUAGAGCUUCUUCCUCUAACAAGAUCACUUCCAUUCCCGUUGUUCUCUAGUAUUUUGGGUGGCCUGAAUUUUAGUCUCCUUGGGCUGAGUUUCUCAGACUGAUAAUCAAUUAUUUUUCCUCUCCUGAACUUGAGAUUUUUAGGACUGCAAAUUGCAGCCCUUCCAGCUUUUAUAUCUUGGUUUGGGCUUGUGGUUCCACUUUUCUUGGAACUGCUGAAUAUUGCAUCACCAUUAACAGACUCGCAUGCGGAAGUUGAUGAUAGGGAGGAUUUCCUGUUGCCAUGUUUUCUGGAGCUACUGCCAUCAGAAUGUAGAGAAGAUGAUGGGGAAAUAUGGGGUGACGGUUUCUUUCCUCUUAUUGGGCCAUGCCUAUCUAAAGGCGAGACUCUGGCCUUCCGAUUUUCCAGAGAGAUCUGUAUGGUCUGGAUUUUUGUCUUUGAUUCUCUGAUAUACAAUGUCCCCUUUGGAACACUCCUGUUACUUCCUAGCUCCAUCUUGCCUCGUUUAAGACUAGCCGAUUUUCUAAGUUGAGAUGCUUUGUUUGGAAAACUUUGAUGACUUGGUUGCACUUUCUUCGUUCGUGCAAGGCUAGUCAAAUUAUUCAUAUGAGAUACCUUGUUUGGAUCAUCUUUACGAAUCACUUUGCCUGUUUUACCAGGAAGACUAAUCUGCUUAUUGCGUUGAGAUACCAUUCCGGGGGAAUUGUUAUUUAACUUUUUGCCUGAUACCCUCUUCACAGAAAUUCUUGUAGAGUGGGAAAUAGUUAUGGCAUCCUUCUUCUUGCUCAACCCGGAGGAUCCUUUUUCGACUGCUAUUUUGGUGGAUGCUGGGAUUUUCUUUCCCUGGGUUCGAAAAGUUGUCUGGCUCUUGAAAUUUGGGAGCUUGGUUGAGCUUAAUGGUUUCUUCCCUAUCUGCAACUUCACAGUUCUAGCCAUUUCUGGGAUUUCUCCUGAUGCUGCUACAGGUCUUGUGCGCUGGAGAGUCCUCACCUUCUUUUUAAGAUCACUUGCAACUGUGUAUUUGCGAACUUCUUGGCGAGAACCUGUUGGAACACUCGGAGAACAUGACAAGACCUUGGAUUCACCUAUUUCAAUACCUGAGCUUCCAGUUGAGUUCCUUCUCAAAUAGCCGACUCCGGACUCAAUUUUGUCCAGGUUCACUGGCAUGCCAACAUCGUUUUUCUUGCUCAACUCAUAAGAUGCAGUGUCUUUAUCCAUCCUGCUUCCUGUGUUUGUUUUGGUGGUUGCAUCAUCCAAUAUAGACCCCUUAAGUGUGAGCGAAACCCCUGUCAUAAGACUGUCACUGUAUCUUCUUCUGCUUAGUUUGUUGCUUCUUGACACAGAAUAAUCAUUUUCUCCAAGAGGCUUCAGCUUCAAAUCACUUCGAUGCCUUGCAGAAACGGCUAAUUUUUUGGUGCAUGCUUGUAUUUCCUUUCCAUGGGAAGUUUUCAGCCUUCUGAUAUUUGCAGGUAGUUUAGUUGAGUGUAGUGGUUUCUUCCGUAUCUGCCACUUCACAGUUGUAGCCAAUUUUGAAUUUUCUCCUGAUGAAGUUACAGAUGUUUUGGACAUGUGAGUCCUCGCCUUUGUUUUACAGUUGAGUUCCGCACCAUCUUUGUUAGCGUCAGAAGAACCUGUUGGAACACUCACAUGACGUGGCAAGACCUUGGAGUCACCCAUUUCAAUACCUAAAUUGCCAGUUGAGUUCCUUCUCAAAUAACUGAGUUCAUGCUCAAUUUUCUCCAAGUUUGCAGGUUUUCCGACAACCUUCUUGUUGCCCAACUUAGAAGACCCAGUGUUCUUGUCCAUCCUGCUUCCUUUGUUUGGUGUGCCGGUUGCACCAUCCAACGGAGAAUUCUGAGCAAUUGAUGAUCCCCCUGGUAUGAUAGUGUCGCUGUAUCCUCUUAUCCUCAGCUUAUAGAUUCCGGACAUAGAAUUAGCAUUUUCCUGCAACGACUUCAUCUUCAAACCGUUCCGUUGUUUUACAGAAACAGCUAAUCUUUUGGCGUAUGCUGGGAUCUCCUGUCUCUGGGAUUUACCAGUUGUACGCCUCUUGAAAUUCACAGGUAGCUUACUCGAGCGUAGUGGUUUCUUCCUUAUCUGCACCUGUACAGUUGUAGUCAAUUCUGGUAUUUUUUCUGAUGCUACUACUGUUCUACUCAGCAGGGAAGUCCUUGCUAUUGUUGUUUGAUCAUCACGUUCAGCACCUUUGCAAGCGUCAUGGCAAGAACCUUUUGGAUCGCUCAGGUAACGUGACAAGACCUUGGAUUUAGCAAUUUGAAAGCCAAAGCUGCCAGUUGAGUUCCUUCUCAAAAAGCGAGCAUCACGCUCAAUUCUCUCCAGAUGUGCAGGUAUGCCAACAACCAUCUCAGCCAUUUUGAGUUUGAGCAAUGAAACUAGUACCACUGCAGAACUUAUCAGAAGCAGAGACCCUUUGAAACCUCGACCUCACAAAUGCAGCAUCCUAGUGUGGAAAAAAUAACAAGGACCUGUGAGAGAAUUGAUACUGAUAAAAAAAGCAA
rnacentral:lncRNA from 1 species